rnacentral:rRNA from 1 species
GACGAACGCUGGCGGCGUGCUUAACACAUGCAAGUCGAACGAUGAAGCUGGAGCUUGCUCCGGUGGAUUAGUGGCGAACGGGUGAGUAACACGUGAGCAAUCUGCCCUUGACUCUGGAUAACUGCGGGAAACUGUAGCUAAUACCGGAUACUUUCACUGGAAGGCAUCUUCUGGUGAAGAAAGAAUUUCGGUCAAGGAUGAGCUCGCGGCCUAUCAGCUUGUUGGUGAGGUAACGGCUCACCAAGGCGACGACGGGUAGCCGACCUGAGAGGGUGAUCGGCCACACUGGGACUGAGACACGGCCCAGACUCCUACGGGAGGAAGCAGUAGGGAAUCUUCCGCAAUGGACGAAAGUCUGACGGAGCAACGCCGCGUGAGUGAUGACGGCCUUCGGGUUGUAAACCUCUUUUAGUAGGGAAGAAGCGAAAGUGACGGUACCUGCAGAAAAAGCACCGGCUAACUACGUGCCAGCAGCCGCCGUAA